AGCCCACGUACGCGCCUAGCCCACCCAGAUCGCUACUCCCGUUCUCCGGCGUCGCCGCCGCAAAUCGGCACCGGCGGCAACUCCCCUCUCUGGUCUGGUGUGCGCCCCCCGUAUGGUAUGCCCCACCGACCUCAGCCAGCCGCCGGCCCACCGCGUACCACUUCCAGUCCAAAUCCAACCAAGUGGGAAUGGGAGAGGGAGAGGGAUCGCCCGCCGAGGAGGCGGUGGUCGGGCCCCCUUCGGUUGGAGCUGCGGCUGGCGCGCCCGCCUCGCGACGGCGGGCCACCGUUUGAGCCUGGUGCGCCCGACAAUGGUGGUCGCUGAAGCCUCAAGGCGGGUGGACACCAAAAAAGGUGUACCGGACAGACAGUAAUUAAGUGGGCAAAGCAGGAAAAUACUGGAAAGUGCGUGUCCAUUAGUUGGGUGGGUCGUGCAAAUGACAGUAAUCUAGUCGGUAAAGCAUGAAAAGACACGGAAUUGCGCGUCCUUAAAGUAGGUUCCUGCUUCAUUAAGUGGUCGGUAAAGUAUACGAAGGUGCGCGCCCAUUUGGAUGACUUCGCCAAAGCUUCAAGCCUUCUGAAACCAGUCAGUGACAUUCAUGCUUGCUUUAGCUUUACCUUUCUUUUUUGGUAUUGGCCUUUGUUUAUUGUAAGUGUGUGCACUAGCAACAGUGAUAAUGACUCAGAGACAUCAGGA